AUGACGAAGAGGCACGGUCCUGCCGCCCGAGUUCACCGCGUUCACCCCCUUCUUCUCCUCCUCGCGGCCGUCUUGCUGCUCGCUGCCACGGCUGAUGGCAUCAGACCGGGCCCCGAUGAUGCUGAUGCGAAACCGGCAGUGCAGCGUGCACGGCCGGGGCAGGCGCCUGGUGCGGCGACGGCGACGGCGACGGAGGAGAAGGGGUUCCUGCAGGAGGAGGUGUACGGGACGGGGUCGAGCCUGCCGGACUGCACGCACGCGUGCGGCGCCUGCAAGCCGUGCAACCGCGUCAUGGUCAGCUUCAAGUGCUCCAUCGCCGAGCCCUGCCCCAUGGUCUACCGCUGCAUGUGCAAGGGCAAGUGCUACCCUGUCCCCUCAAGCUAG
rnacentral:rRNA from 1 species